rnacentral:rRNA from 1 species
UGAGGAAUAUUGGUCAAUGGGCGCGAGCCUGAACCAGCCAAGUCGCGUGAGGGAAGACGGUCCUAUGGAUUGUAAACCUCUUUUGUCGGGAGGCAAAGAUCAGCCACGUGUGGCUAUUGGAGAUGUACCCGAAGAAAAAGCAAUCGGCUAACUCCGUGCCAGCAGCCGCGGUAAUACGGAGGAUGCGAGCGUUAUCCGGAUUUAUUGGGUUUAAAGGGUGCGUAGGCGGAAGUUCAAGUCAGCGGUAAAAUAGUGGUGCGUCAACAGCCAUCGAGCCGUUGAAACUGAAUUUCUUGAGUGAGCGAGAAGUAUGCGGAAUGCGUGGUGUAGCGGUGAAAUGCAUAGAUAUCACGCAGAACUCCGAUUGCGAAGGCAGCAUACCGGCGCUCAACUGACGCUGAAGCACGAAAGCGUGGGUAUCGAACAGGAUUAGAUACC